CAAAUACAGGCGCCUCCUACCGCAGGGAACUUUGGCCCUGGGGAGCCUCAGGGAGCCUGAGCCCAGAUCAGACAGAGGACGACAAGAGAAGGUGUGCAGCCCGGUGGGAAGGCAGCUGUGAUGAGGUUUGGCAGACAGAACAGCCUAGCCUGCUCCUGCCCUGUGAGCUGAGGGAACUGAGAACAGAUGUGAAUGGCCGAAGUCACUGGUCAGUAGGCUCUCCGAAGCUCUGCCUGUUGACAUGUAUCAGUAAGAAUGGAGGGUCCCAUUCACAGCAGGAGAAUCUCUGUCGCUGACAAUGAGCCCUUUUCAUCAGGGACGCCUGAAAUUGUUCAGUUCCUGGUGGGCUUCCGUCUCUGGGGUCGCACAGAGUGGGACACGACUGAAGCGACGCAGCAGCAGCAGCAGCGGCAGCCGCCAGUUCAUCAGUGAGCCUCAGUGAGCAGCCUCUAGGCAGGAUUCCCUGGUCACGCCCCUUCAAGACUGUCUCCCCAGUUUCAUGACCCCCAGAGACAGACAGUCGAUUACAGUCCCUGCUGAGUGCGUGCGUG